rnacentral:tRNA from 13 species
GCCACCAUAGCUCAGAGGUUAGGCACUGGUCUCGUUAACCAGGGUCGCGAGUUCGAAUCUCGCUGGUGGCU